CAGUGGUAACUAACUGUCUGCUGACCAAAUCAGGUGCUUGGUCACCUGUGCCUGCCCUUUCCCCAGCAUCCCACCUGUGCUGCGUUGCACUGAGCAGCCAGUGCCUGGCGGUGGGGAGCGGGGCAGCCUCGUGUUUGAUAUGCCUGCUGCGGUUGUAGAUCGAGCCCUUUGUUCUCUGGCAUCUCUCCAUUUGAAAAAUCAUAGGAUCGCCAUCAUCAUUCGUUCCAUGGCAACAUCUUUGUUAAAGAGAGGAGAAGCCGUCACGCUGGCAAUAGAAAGGUACAGAGCCCUCCUUCCUGCCAUUCAAGAGUGAUCCCUUGAAAACUUUUUGGGAAGCCCCUGUUCUGACACUCUCCAAGUGAGUACCUGUACAACAUGCUGGUUUUUUAUCUGAGCAAGGGUCCUUUCGAAGUUACUGAGGGGUGGGUCAUCUCUGCACAGCAGAGAGAGAGACUAUCUUCUGUCAGCUUUGGAAGGUCUGCUACCUGGUGGUAAACCCACAGAGUGGGAAAUGGCACUGGACUUAUAGAAAGGACCUUUGCAGGUAAUUAUGGAGGAGCAGUACUGGCUCUUGGGUAGGCACACAAAGCCUUCCUGUCCUGAUUUGCAGAACUCUUCUAUUUUUACUGUAUUCACAAGGAGCGUCUGAUAUGCUGUUUAGUAUUAUGUGUAUGACAGUGCUCCUGGAGUCAUCAUUUUUCAAAUCCAAAGGCUUUUGGCAGAUUUAACAAGAUUUUUUCUCCUUCUUCAAGCAGGGAAAGUAGUUUUCUUUUUUAUAAAUAUUCAUUUUUAUAUCCACCCAAAACUACUUUCUCUUUUCUAGGCCUUUAAAGGCCAAGGACUCUAAAAACUGUGUGGACACAUUGUGAAAACUAUAAUGGUAAAACAAACACUCUAUGGUGCAAUUGCUGAUGGAUGAUAUUUCCAUGAGACAUUACGUAAAACAAAAAAGGAAGUGUUAAGCUUUUUGCUUUUCUUCCUGGAAGCCAUAAAUCUGGAAACCCUGUUUAUAGUUCUUUCAGCACUGUGUAACUCUGAUACUUUGAAAUUUCAUGGUAUAAAAAGUAUUGCUCAUGCUACAGCUUGUGGCUAAUUGCUGGAAUAGGUGGAAAUGACAGGCCACUAAUUUUUUCUCUCUCCUGUCCUCUGAGUCUGCUUUAGAUCUCAUAUUCCUUCUGGCAUAAACCAGAGUGGGAUGUAUGGGGUUGUUGACCAGGAUGGUCUGUGUGUGUUCAUAUAAAGGAGGGAUGCUUUUGAUCUUUGUAUUUGCAUGCUAAACUAGGCAUAUUUUAGCCCUCACGUUUUGGACUUUG
ensembl:lncRNA